rnacentral:tRNA from 1 species
AGGGGUGUAGGUUAAUCUAAAACUUGUGGCUUGUGGCGCCACAGAUCUAAAUGUAGCAUUUCUU